rnacentral:tRNA from 1 species
GGCGUAGUUCAGCUGGUUAGAGCACCAGAUUGUGGUCCUGGUUGUCGUGGGUUCGAAUCCCAUCGC